rnacentral:rRNA from 1 species
UACGAGGGGUGCAAGCGUUGCUCGGAAUUAUUGGGCGUAAAGGGUAGGUAGGUGGUCUCGUUUGUCUGGGGUGAAAGCCUUGAGCUUAACUCAAGAAGUGCCCCAGAAACGGCGAGACUGGAGUCCUGGAGAGGGUCGUGGAAUUCCCGGUGUAGCGGUGAAAUGCGUAGAGAUCGGGAGGAACACCAGAGGCGAAGGCGGCGACCUGGACAGGUACCGACACUCAACUACGAAAGCGUGGGGGAGCAAAAACAGG